rnacentral:lncRNA from 1 species
CAAGUUUUAGUUGGGAGGGAAUACUAACUUAAACUUUGUGAGGGAUCGUUCUACUUCUAACAUCACAGCAUGCAGAAAGUAAAACAUAAACAGAAUAGCAUUCACACAGUUGUGACACAGUAUGGCCCGUUUUCAUAUGGUGAUCUCCAUCUCCAUAGAACCUGUUCACCAUGGUGAUCUCCAUCUCCAUGUUCCAUGUGCGCCAUCCUCCUGGUGAUGAGUCCUCCAAGAACUAGAACAUGCUAUUACGCCUAAUAGCUAGUAAAAAAAAACUAGUAAUGAAGAUUAC